rnacentral:snRNA from 1 species
GGAUGUGGGGGUGAUCUGGCUGCGACAUCUGUCACCCCAUUGAUCACCAGGGUUGAUUUGACUGAUCUGGCUGGCUAGGCAGGUGUCCCCUUCCUCCCCCACAGCUCCAUGUGUGUCCCUCCUGAAGCUGUGUGCUCUGCCGAAGAGGAUGACCUUCCCUGAUAGAGGAGGACGAUUCUUCAGUCAAGGGCAUACGAGUAGCUGCACUCCCCUGCUAGAACCUCCAAACAAGCUCUCAAGAAUUGGGCUUAGGUUUGGGGGACAAAGGAAACAUUUUGCACUUCUAAUUUAGGCUAGAAUCCAGUUCCUGCAAGAAUCAUGCUGUCAGUU